rnacentral:rRNA from 1 species
GAUGAACGCUGGCGGCGUGCCUAAUACAUGCAAGUCGAGCGAACGGAUAAGGAGCUUGCUCCUUUGAAGUUAGCGGCGGACGGGUGAGUAACACGUGGGUAACCUACCUAUAAGACUGGAAUAACUUCGGGAAACCGGAGCUAAUGCCGGAUAACAUAUAGAACCGCAUGGUUCUAUAGUGAAAGAUGGUUUUGCUAUCACUUAUAGAUGGACCCGCGUCGUAUUAGCUAGUUGGUAAGGUAAUGGCUUACCAAGGCGACGAUACGUAGCCGACCUGCGAGGGUGAUCGGCCACACUGGAACUGAGACACGGUCCAGACUCCUACGGGAGGCAGCAGUAGGGAAUCUUCCGCAAUGGGCGAAAGCCUGACGGAGCAACGCCGCGUGAGUGAUGAAGGUUUUCGGAUCGUAAAACUCUGUUAUUAGGGAAGAACAAAUGCGUAAGUAACUGUGCGCAUCUUGACGGUACCUAAUCAGAAAGCCACGGCUAACUACGUGCCAGCCGCCGCGGUAA